rnacentral:tRNA from 1 species
AUAAGUUAAAGCUAAAAAGAAGCAUGUAGUUGUUACCUGCAAGACUGUAAUUCCACUAACUUA